AGUGGACGCUGGCGGUAGGCCUAACACAUGCAAGUCGAACGGCAGCACAGUAAGAGCUUGCUCUUACGGGUGGCGAGUGGCGGGCGGGUGAGGAAUACAUCGGAAUCUACUUUUUCGUGGGGGAUAACGUAGGGAAACUUACGCUAAUACCGCAUACGACCUACGGGUGAAAGCAGGGGAUCUUCGGACCUUGCGCGAUUGAAUGAGCCGAUGUCGGAUUAGCUAGUUGGCGGGGUAAAGGCCCACCAAGGCGACGAUCCGUAGCUGGUCUGAGAGGAUGAUCAGCCACACUGGAACUGAGACACGGUCCAGACUCCUACGGGAGGCAGCAGUGGGGAAUAUUGGACAAUGGGCGCAAGCCUGAUCCAGCCAUACCGCGUGGGUGAAGAAGGCCUUCGGGUUGUAAAGCCCUUUUGUUGGGAAAGAAAAGCAGCAGGUUAAUACCCCGCUGUUCUGACGGUACCCAAAGAAUAAGCACCGGCUAACUUCGUG
rnacentral:rRNA from 1 species